GUUCUCUUAGUAUAAAAAGUAUAAUUGACUUCCAAUCAAAAGGUUAAGUUUUAAGAGAAUA
rnacentral:tRNA from 1 species